rnacentral:rRNA from 1 species
UUUAUGGGGUGACUGCGUACCUUUUGUAUAAUGGGUCAGCGACUUAUAUUCUGUAGCAAGGUUAACCGAAUAGGGGAGCCGAAGGGAAACCGAGUCUUAACUGGGCGUUAAGUUGCAGGGUAUAGACCCGAAACCCGGUGAUCUAGCCAUGGGCAGGUUGAAGGUUGGGUAACACUAACUGGAGGACCGAACCGACUAAUGUUGAAAAAUUAGCGGAUGACUUGUGGCUGGGGGUGAAAGGCCAAUCAAACCGGGAGAUAGCUGGUUCUCCCCGAAAGCUAUUUAGGUAGCGCCUCGUGAAUUCAUCUCCGGGGGUAGAGCACUGUUUCGGCAAGGGGGUCAUCCCGACUUACCAACCCGAUGCAAACUGCGAAUACCGGAGAAUGUUAUCACGGGAGACACACGGCGGGUGCUAACGUCCGUCGUGAAGAGGGAAACAACCCAGACCGCCAGCUAAGGUCCCAAAGUCAUGGUUAAGUGGGAAACGAUGUGGGAAGGCCCAGACAGCCAGGAUGUUGGCUUAGAAGCAGCCAUCAUUUAAAGAAAGCGUAAUAGCUCACUGGUCGAGUCGGCCUGCGCGGAAGAUGUAACGGGGCUAAACCAUGCACCGAAGCUGCGGCAGCGACGCUUAUGCGUUGUUGGGUAGGGGAGCGUUCUGUAAGCCUGUGAAGGUGUGCUGUGAGGCAUGCUGGAGGUAUCAGAAGUGCGAAUGCUGACAUAAGUAACGAUAAAGCGGGUGAAAAGCCCGCUCGCCGGAAGACCAAGGGUUCCUGUCCAACGUUAAUCGGGGCAGGGUGAGUCGACCCCUAAGGCGAGGCCGAAAGGCGUAGUCGAUGGGAAACAGGUUAAUAUUCCUGUACUUGGUGUUACUGCGAAGGG